CCAAUAGCGUAUAUUAAAGUUGUUGCAGUUAAAAAGCUCGUAGUUGAAUUUCGGGAUCAGAUUGUCGGUCGUGCCUCGGUACGCACUGGCAUUAUUGGUUCCUACCUUCUGAAGAACCGCGAUGUCAUUAAUUUGGUGUCGUGGGGAAUCAGGACUGUUACUUUGAAAAAAUUAGAGUGUUUAAAGCAGGCGCACGCUUGAAUACAUUAGCAUGGAAUAAUGAAAUAGGACGUUUGAUUCUAUUUUGUUGGUUUCUAGGAUCGACGUAAUGAUUAAUAGGGAUAGUUGGGGGCAUUAGUAUUCAAUUGUCAGAGGUGAAAUUCUUGGAUUUAUUGAAGACUAACUACUGCGAAAGCAUUUGCCAAGGAUGUUUUCAUUAAUCAAGAACGAAAGUUAGGGGAUCGAAGACGAUCAGAUACCGUCGUAGUCUUAACCAUAAACUAUGCCGACUAGGGAUCGGAUGAUGUUAAUUUUUUAAUGACUCAUUCGGCGCCUUACA
rnacentral:rRNA from 1 species